CGCCUCUUGAAUAAAUAUAAGAGGUCCAGCCUGCCCAGUGACCAUGUUCAACGGCCGCGGUAUCCUAACCGUGCGAAGGUAGCGUAAUCACUUGUUCUUUAAAUAAGGACUAGUAUGAACGGCACCACGAAGGUUACACUGUCUCCUUUCUCUAAUCAGUGAAACUAAUCCCCCCGUGAAGAAGCGGGGAUAAACAUAUAAGACGAGAAGACCCUAUGGAGCUUCAAACUUUAAAGGCACUUGCCCCAACAUAAACCUAAUUUCAGAAAACUACUACCACCCAAGCAAGAUGACCCUUAGUUUUAGGUUGGGGUGACCGCGGAGCAAAAAAAAACCUCCACAUUGAAAAGAGCCAACUCUUUAGCCAAGAGCUACACCUCUAAGCACCAACAAAAAGACAUUAAUUGACCCAAUAUUUUGAUCAACGAACCAAGUUACCCUAGGGAUAACAGCGCAAUCCACUUCAAGAGCCCCUAUCGACAAGUGGGUUUACGACCUCGAUGUUGGAUCAGGGUAUCCCGGUGGUGCAGCCGCUACCAAAGGUUCGUUUGUUCAACGAUUAAAAC
rnacentral:rRNA from 1 species